GCUUACGGCCACACCGCCUGGUUCACGCCCGAUCUCGAAAGCUAACAUAGGUUGGGCCUGGUUAGUACUUGGAUGGGAGACCGCCUGGGAAUACCAGGUGCUGUAAGCU
ensembl:rRNA 5S_rRNA 5S ribosomal RNA